rnacentral:ncRNA from 1 species
GGGGGAGGGAGAUCGGAGAAUCUAACGAUAAACCCUCAGAGAAGUUUUUUAGUAAACGAAGUGAAUUGAAAUAUCUUAGUAACUUCAGGAAAAGAAAUCAAAAGAGAUUCUAUGAUUAGCGUGAGUGAAAAUAGAGUAGCCUACUAACAUUAAGUAAAAUGGUUAAAAAACUGUUUGAAUUAAAUGGGGAACCUUCCUCAAAGGCUAAAUAUAAUACAUAAGCGACAGUGAAAAGUAUCAUGAGAGAAAGAUUGUAAUUAGUAGUUUUAUAAGCAGUUCGAGCCAAAUAAAUAAGUGAGAACGUACCUUUUGCAUAAUGGGUCACCUAGUUAACAUUAGAUGCGAGUGAAAGCGUAGGUAAACCAAUCGUUAAAAUAACGAAUAGUGUCUAAAGUUAGACCCGAAGCCUGGUGAUUUUACCAUAAUCAGGAUUAUAAAAGUCCGAACGGGUUAUCGUUGUAAAGAUAUCCGAGGAAUUAUGGUAGGUAGUGAAAGACAACACUGACUAGGAUAGCUGGUUUUCUGCGAAACCUAUAACAGUAGGCAAUUUGAGUAACAUCUUAGCAGGUACAGAAUUUAAUCUCAGACAAGAUGUUUAAAUUUUAGUGGUUAUAGCCAUUAAAACAACAUGUUGAUUUGUAUAUAUCGGGGGAUCGUGAAGAUUUUAUCGGUGAGUAUGUAGACUCGGAAUGGCAAAGAUGGAUCUUGAAUUAUCGGACAUAGAAUGAUAAGGUUGUAUGUCAAAAGGGAAACAGCCCAGAACAAGAGUUAAGGUUCCAAAAUUAUUAGUUAAGUGAAAUUAAGAAGGUUUUUAUUAAAGUCGACAAGGAGAUGGGCUUAGAAGCAGCCAAAUUUUGAAGACCUCGUAACAGAGCGCUUGUUAAGUUUUAAAAGCAUCGAAAAUUUAACGGAUCUAAACAAUAUACCGAAACCUUGUCCAUAUUUUACUAUAUAUAUUUAUUGUAUAGUAAUUUUGUGGGGUAGCAGAACGUUGAAUUAAAUUAAGAUAUUUCUUCAGCGAAGAAAUAUAUGAUAAUCAAUUCAAGUGAGAAUGGUGACAUGAGUAACGAAUAAGAAGGAAGGUUCCCGCCCGAUUCCCCCUCUUAGUUAAGAUUAUUUAACUAGGAGGCGAGCUGGGAAUUGAAAUCCUCCGCCUAAAGCUUAUGGAUUAGCAAGGAGCUUGAAAGUAACGGCCUCUAAGUAAUAGACCUAAAGGUUUAAACGAUGAGAAAAUCUAAAUUACUAAAUGACAACAUUUUGGUCCCCCUCCUUUUUCUCCCCUCCCACCUCCUCAAUUAAUUGAGGAGGAG